rnacentral:rRNA from 1 species
AGUGAACGCUGGCGGUGUGCCUAACACAUGCAAGUCGAACGGCAGCACAGUAAGAGCUUGCUCUUACGGGUGGCGAGUGGCGGACGGGUGAGGAAUACAUCGGAAUCUACUUUUUCGUGGGUGAUAACGUAGGGAAACUUACGCUAAUACCGCAUACGACCUACGGGUGAAAGCAGGGGAUCUUCGGACCUUGCGCGAUUGAAUUAGCCGAUUUCGGAUUAGCUAGUUGGCGGGGUAAAGUCCCACCAAGGCGACGAUCCGUAGCUGGUCUGAGAGGAUGAUCAGCCACACUGGAACUGAGACACGGUCCAGACUCCUACGGGAGGCAGCAGUGGGGAAUAUUGGACAAUGGGCGCAAGCCUGAUCCAGCCAUACCGCGUGGGUGAAGAAGGCCUUCGGGUUGUAAAGCCCUUUUGUUGGGAAAGAAAAGCAGCAGGUUAAUACCCCGCUGUUCUGACGGUACCCAAAGAAUAAGCACCGGCUAACUUCGUG